rnacentral:rRNA from 1 species
UGAGGAAUAUUGGACAAUGGGCGCAAGCCUGAUCCAGCCAUGCCGCGUGCAGGAUGACGGUCCUAUGGAUUGUAAACUGCUUUUGCACAGGAAGAAACAACGCUACGUGUAGCGUCUUGACGGUACUGUGAGAAUAAGGAUCGGCUAACUCCGUGCCAGCAGCCGCGGUAAUACGGAGGAUCCAAGCGUUAUCCGGAAUCAUUGGGUUUAAAGGGUCCGUAGGCGGUUUAGUAAGUCAGUGGUGAAAGCC